CUGUGUCAUGGCAGUCAUGCAAGUAGCUCUCGACCAUUAAACACUAACAUGAGACGUUCUAGGAGCACGGGGGAGCUCUACGUGGGCUGUCCAACGGACGGGCAAGCCAGAUAGAGAGAGAGUGAUUUCAGUUUUCCAUUUUCGAGCUCUUCUCUGUCUUCCAUGUCUCUCCCUGUUCACUUGGAAGCUUGCUUGUUGGCUACAUCAGAACCAAUGCGUUUGUAGUAUGUGGAGAGUAAGUCGAAGACCGAGACAUAUGGACGAACACAUGCAGGCUACAGAGUUGUUCUCUCGGAUUGGUGCCACAAAGGAGUUUCUCCUAGGACGAGAGAGAUGAGAGGGUAGUGGUUGGUUGAGAAGGGGCAGAUUUCUAUUUUACACACGCCGAACUUGGGGGCCGAAAUGUGAUUUUGAGAGCCAAAUGAAGUCAGUCAAUCAGUCUCGAAGGAGGAGGCUUCUGGAGCAGACCGACCUGAAAACCCUCCCGAAAGUACACAAAGUUGUAGGUUAGUAGACUUGACGGAUCUUACUAAAGGACUGUGACUGGACUUGGGACAAAGACAAAAACAAGUGACCAAGACCACGAUGUGACUUUAAACACAACCAGUGACUUGUUGACUCUCAACCAUGACAACUUCUUGGAUACGACGACGACUUCUGACACCCUCGUGUUGAGGGACCAACGAGUGACCACUUGAACAAGACAUGAGAUAGAGACUCACAAAGUUGAUUGUUCGAUCUAGUCACCGUUAGGACAAUUCAACCCACCUCCUGCACACUUAUCGUAAAUCCAAAAUUUAGGAAAAUUCCAGCACAAAUUGAUCUCGUUCAUUCAUAGCAACUUUGCCCCCGUACGCAACCAGUCAACUCCAGAAGUCUUUCAGAAGUAUUCAUUUUUGCAUCGGGACUACUCUCUCACGAAUUACGUAAAAAAUACAGACUUGACUUGACCAUACUCAAACGACCUCAGACAUUGCCCAACGACAGUCAAACACCUAAACUACAAACUGUUACGUUUAAUUUUUGCGACCGACAGACUUACAAAGACAUUCACCAUUCCGACCCACGUGUACAAAGACGUUAUGUACGACAAUCGACAAAAUGACAGAGACCAUGACCGAGACCAUGACCCACCGGAACCCUGUAGUACAGCUUCAGACCAAAACAACAACACAACCACGACCUCGACUAACGACUCAUUCUGUGACAAACGGGACUCUUUAUCACCCUCACUGUUCCGACAAUCCCCACGUUCCUCCACGUCACCAACCCCCUACCUCAACCAUGGCGCCGGUGCCACCAGUUGCCAAAGGGCUAGUCCGCUCCGACAGGCCCUCUCAUCACCAACGCCACCCGCCAGCUCCACUGCCACUCCUCUCUUGAAGGCCUCUCUGAACUGUCCCCCUGUAGCUCACAAUGGCCUUCUCAUUCCCGAAAGAGCUGGGUCGCCCUCAUCCACCUCAUCGCCUGGGCUCUUGCCAGCACGUACCAAUGGCUCAGUUGACUUGUCUUUGGCGUCUCGAAAGCGGAGGAUAAUCGAGAUCUCGACCACCAGCCCCAACACCGGAUCCCCGCCAAAGUCACCGGUGCCGGAUGGAAAACGGAAUAGUCAUGGUGGGACCAAUCCGGAAAUGUAUAGCAACCUAAUAAUGCAGCUACGCCAACAGAACACGCAACCGGUUGGGAAUCGCUCUCCUUUCGCAAGCAGUUCUGCGGCCAAGAUGAGUGCAGCUGCCAGAAAGGAGAAAUUAAAGUGCCAAACUUGUUUUCAAUGUCCCGUCUGUAAGAAGAGAUUUCAACGACACAUAGCCAUGAAUGCCCACUUUCAGAACGAGCACAUUGGUCAAGCCCACGCCGAGAAGAUAUGUUUGCUUUGUUCUUAUAAGGCCAAAGAUGUUCAAGCUAUUCGAUCGCACUUGAAUGAGGAUCACCACAUCAAUCUGGAUGACCCGUCCUCUUGUCGCGUGGAACCAGAAUCCGGGGUGUCUAUCACCACGAUUGCCGCAGUCUCGCCAGUUCGCUCAGAAACCUAUUCUUGCUCUCAACUUAAUGUGACCAGCUCCCAAGGAAUCGGAUCGAAUUACUCGUCUUUACCGACGUCCCCCACCAAGAGCACUGGUCGGAGUUUCUUUUCGCAAAAUUCGCGAGAUCGCUCACUUUCACCAGAACAGGUUCCAUCCCCAUCUCCAACCCAACAACGGAAUGGAGGGGCUUCCAAUGACGGUGUUCCGACUCUCACCAUUUCUCCCCAAGCCAUCCAAGAGCGACUCGAGGCCCUUUCAAAUGAAAUCAAAAUGGAGUCUCGGGAUGAUGAAGAUCACGCCAAGGAUUUGAGAGUUUUCCGUCAAGGCUCGUUUCAUGAUAAGAGUGGAGCAGUCAUUGUUCGGAAGAUCCAGGUCCCUUCGCCCAAUGCUGCAGUGGACCCGAUUUCACGAACCGGGCAGAGCUCGAUACCAAUAAUCACGUUAUCUUCAACGGGAAAUGCCAAAUCAAGUGGGACCAAAGAAGCCACUCCUCCAGGGGCUCAACCGUGGUCUUGUCAGCAUUGCACCAUCAUUUUCCCCAACCAAACUUUGUACUUUCUCCAUCGAGGCUUCCACAGCGAAGGCAACCCCUGGCGCUGCAACGGUUGCCGCACCCAAUGCACCGAUAUGUAUGACUUCAAUGCCCAUCUGGUCAGUGAUCGACAUCACUAAGCCCUUCCAAGGAGUGUCUGCGUUUCCCUUCUCCGAUUUAAACUUUCUCCCAUCGACUUCUUUCUCCUUUUAUCGAACUUUUAUUCUGGCGCUGAAAGAAAUGCGCGGGAAACACGAACGGAAGAAUGUACCACCGAAACAAAUUCAUUCAAAAAUCAGUUCUAUAUCAAUGGUGUUCAAAUUCACCCAUAUUUACAAUCUACCUUGUGAUAGUAGUUUAUCGACAAAUAAAUAUCUAGUGCUGCCAAAGUGACUAUCAUUUUGUCAAGGCCUCAUGGAUUUUUAAAACUCUCUCCAAUGUUCUAGGUCAUCGGUGAAAUGGAUAAGCUUUUAUCUUGUGCAAAGCUCAAUUCCAUGUUUGCUUUGACUUAUCUAACCGAACUUCCAUUCCCGAUCGACGUCGGCCAGAAUAACGUAUUGCAAGGGCCAUAAAAGGUCGGCGAUAUUCGCACUUAGCCAGACCACAUUUUCACUUCCCUUCCGAAUGGAGAACUGAACUAUCAAUGUCAAUAAAGCUAUUUUUCAUAGAAGUAGGACCUAUUGUACUUGUCAAAAGCAAUGUCAGAGGUGACCCCUGGUGGACAAUCUAAAGUGAGCAUCAAUCUAAGCAUCAUCCAAACAGUACAAGCGGGCGCCUAUGUUCACUUAUUUGAAAGGUUAAACCAGGUAUUAGACAUGAUUACAUAUUCUCAUUGAAUUGGCUAAAACAUGAUUUUGUUGGGUGUAACUUAUCAAUUUGUCAUACCCAAAACCUCUUAGAGCACUAGAUGGCGGGUCGCUGCUGGUGACCUUAUCUUCAAUAUGAUGUACCCUUGCUCUGGACUUUUGAACUGCGGGGUUCAAUGUACUUUCCCCCUCCAUUUAUGCGCCAAGAAUAUUGGGAUGCGAGUAGUCGCAUAAUUUCCCAUUGACAAGGUCUUUGGCUAAUUUCCUGGUUGACUACAAGAUCUGGCACAGAUUGUGACUCGUGUUUGUGAGAGUGUCUCUGGAACCAAAGAAGAAGAAAGUGAAAGACGUGAAAUCUUGUUUUCAUGUUAAAGAACAAUCAAGUCAAUGCAAAUCAUUUCAAAACGAACUGAAAUGUUUCUUUGGAUUUUCGUAUUCGUCCUGAUCGGCGAAUCAAAUCAAGCUCCGUGGAUUGAACCCUAUCCACAGCCAAAUCAAUGGUCACCUAAUGACCCUUGUGGAAGUUAUCAGCGCCCAUGGAUUCAAAUGAAUCCCAUGGAUGUGAUGCCUGACUAUGCAAAUGGCGAGCCGCCUUGUCCAUUUCCAUCUCAAGAGUUGAACCAGCCUCAGGACUGGAACCAACCUCGGGAUUGGAACCAACCUCGGGAUUGGAAUCAACCUCAGGAUUGGAACCAGCCUCAGCAAUGGAUCCCUCCUCAGAAUUGGAACCCACCCCAAGAGUGGAAUCAGCCUCCAUCACCAAAUGGAAAUCAGAUCUGGAACCCUGAAUUGCCAGGACCCAUGUUGCCUCAACCCUAUGACUGCUGCAUGGAUUGGGAACCCCAGCCUCCGUGUUUUUGUCCGCCUGGUCAAGGUGAAAUGGGACCGGAUUGGCCCAAUUCAUUGUACCCAGGAGCCAACUACCCGGGUCCCGGACAAAGUGGAGACUCCUCAUAUUAUCCCAAUCCUCCAUACCCCAAUAUUCCGCCUGUUUGGCCAUCAAAUCCCGGAACGAGCUACCCGGAAAUACCUCCUGUUUCCCCGGACCUUCCUGGCAAUCCUGGCUGUCCCACUCGGAUCCCUGGCUGGAUUCGAAUCGAUUUGAAGGAGUAUUAUUUGCCCGAAAUCCAUCCAACCACGUGGAUGCAGGCCGAGGCCCUUUCCCUUGAAAAGGGUGGCAAACUCGUCGAACCUGACUCGGACAGGGAGACCGAGAAGCUGCAGAGGGUCUUGCAAAAAUGCUAUCCUGCCGGAUCCCGGUUCUGGGUUGGUGCCAACAACCUAGUGGGUUCGAACCAAUGGCGAUGGGCAUCAGAUGGCAAACCCAUUAACUACUUCAACUGGGCCGAGGAAGGGCCCGUGGUGGAGGCGAUAGGGAAAUGCGCCGAGUUCCAAUUGCCGUCGCUUCAGUGGAGGAAGUCAGUCUGUUCGGAUCAAGACGACACCCUAGGCUAUCUUGUUGAAAGACGUGUUCAGUUCAAUCCGCCCAUCACUCCGCCUCCAACACAACCACCCGUCGUUGAAACCAAGCCCACAAUGGGACCCAUCGUCCCCACAGUUCCUACAGUUGCUACAGUUCCCAGUGUGCCCAAUGUUCCAACUGGACGACCCACCAUGAGGCCCAAAACAACACCUCUUAUGGGCACUGCCCCUCCUCCAGUAUAACUGUAUGAAAGCAAACAGAUUCCAUUGGAAACGGAUCACCACACUUCGGAGUCUUUUGUCACUAAGCAUGUACCUAAAUAAUCAAGCGUUCUGAAGUGA